GACGCCCACAGUACAUCACCUUCAUGAGCGCAUCAGUGAACACCAGUCUAAGGAAGACAUCUCUGAACGUAAUUUUGGAGAUUUUGAUGAGUUCCAUUGAAACAAGGAGGAAUGUGAUGUCCAGUAUCAGUUCUGCAGACCCAAGGACAAAGAAAAUUCUGUGAUAAACUCAUCCAGUGUGACUGUAAUGCCAGGCAGUGAUAGAAGAACUGGGGGAAGAGAUAAUUGUAUUUAUCUUGGUGAGGGUGACAAAUCAUGGCAAAUGAGCAAAAUGAAAAAGGAUACAAGACACCGGACUUUCAAAUCAACAAUUGUUUCAAAAGACUCCUACUGGAUUCCUGCUAGUGAUGGGAGAAAAUUAUCAUUCUGCUAGUUAAUCUGUAGCCAGAGAUGAUUAAGGAGGUCAUUAAAGGAAAACAAGCUGCCCACCAUGCUGAUGCCUGGUUGUUCAGAUCGUUGAGGUGGUGUAGAGAUGACGCACACUGGCUCAGUUUACCCACAUUUGGAUCUACGGACCUGCAAGUGUGAUAUCAAAGCAAAAGGCUCAUUCAUUUACUUGCAUUUGUGGUUGGGAGCAUUUCCCGAAGAGAGGUGGGGAAUUGGUGAUGGGAAAGCACAAGUCAGGCUGGAUGCCCGGCCCUGGGCACUCUCAUGCCUCUUCUGGAGCCCUUCAGUUUGGAUCAUCGCCCUUUCCCACAUGCCACAUUGUUUGUCCACCCUGAUAGCCUCUGUCAUGACACACCAGCCCUGGGAUAUCACAUAAGCUACAGGUCAGACGCUGCUUUCCAGACAGAAUUAUGGAGAAGACAACCAUCAUUUUGGUUCAGCCAACCCAUAUUGCACAUUUAAAGCCAUUAGUUGUUCCCACCUCUAAUAGGAGCUAUAGAUAGUGGAUUUCAAGAGAGUACCAAGGUUGCUACUCCAUAAUGGCCAGAAGAGCAAGCCAAAAACAUCAGAGUAAACACAGAAACCUCACAUCUCAGGGAGGUUUGCUUAACAAACAUAUCAAGACCUGGGAUACCUGGAAAACUGCAGGUGAAAAGAAUAUGUCUAAGAUCCUGUUAACAGCAGAACUUAGACUGCUAGCCCUGCUGGAAAUUUUCCAUGCUCUUCAUUCGUUCUCCUGUAUUUCCUAACGCCAAUAAAAGAGGAGAUCCCUGAG
rnacentral:lncRNA from 1 species